ensembl:lincRNA
AAACUACUUUCAAGCUACAGCAAGCCUUGCAAACAGUCCCAGGAUGAGAUCAUGCCCUGAAUGAGGACGGCAGCUGAUACUGAGACAGCACCCUGAGCAAGUUCUCACCACGGGAGGGAGAGAAGUCAAAAGCUCUCCUGAACGCCCCAGCAGAAUCAGGGCUGGGACUAUAAUCACGAGGCCACUGGCCUGACCAACCCCGCCUCCACUGACACUGCAUCCCAGCUCCUGCUUUAUUUCUUUUUUCUCUAAAAUCUCAAAAUUUCCAUCAGUCACUUAAAGGCCAUUGUUUAUUCUUCCCAGUUGUAGCCACAAACUGGGAUUAUAACCAUGUGCUUCAAAUGAGAUGAGAAAAAAGGAUAGGAUAACUAAGAGUCACAGGGAUAAAGCAACGCCAUGGUGCUGCCCACUGACAGAGAGAAAUGGAUGCCUCCUUUGCCCUCAGGUGGGAAGUGAGAUGUGCCAGAGAAAGAAUCCACCCAUUUCCCGGGACUUUCCUGACUUCCUCUCAGCCACGAGAACAUUUGACCAGAAGGAAUAGGGAAAAGGAGGAAGCACUCUUGGAGAGGAGAAGGA